CAGAAAAGGCGUAAUGAAAAAAUUCAGCACCAGCGCGUCUAGGCAAACUCAAUAUCUAUAUCCUAACAGACUUUUGAUGAAUUAACAUAAGAAAAAGAAACAAUAAAGAAGCAGAAUCUGAUGUUUGUUACACGCUAAAGAAUGGCCCUCGUCUACCUCACUUUCUCACAAACAAUACAACAUACAGGAUUGGUUCUCCGAAGGAUCCAAGCAAUGACAAUUAUGAUGAGGAUCCACUUGCAGUCCAUGUGAAUUCUGUUAAAUCCAGCUAUGUAUAUCAUGGCCACUAAUUGAUCUAAAAUGCCAUUCGACCAGCAAGC
rnacentral:misc_RNA from 1 species